GGGGCCCACUUCCUGCCCAGUUGAGGAAAAAAAUCUGGCCUGAAGAUGAAAUGACUGCUUAACGUUACACUAAAACAUCUGGUACCAUUUUAUGCACAGACCCAUGUCUGAGAGCAGGCGAUUCUGGCGGUCUCUCCAGCGGCACAGCGCAUACCCAAACCUCCCCAGGGUGACAUCAUCCCAUAUAUGGACUCUCCAGCCCAGCCCUCCCCCUUUUCCUGGUCCUAAAUUCAUUGCCAGUUCCCCAGUCUGCAGCAAAUGUGCCACGUCAAGACUGGAAAUCACAGCCCUUGAGUGUGUCUCAGUCAGCGCAGCAGAAUUCAGGGGGGAAAGCUGAAUGCAACCCCUGGUGCAGGAAGGGAGGCUUUUCCUGAGGACCGGGAGAGGAUUUUAAGUACAUAGAAGGAAGCUUCUGGAGAUCCUGCUCCGUCGCCCCAGUGUUCAGACUACCUGUUCAGGACAAUGCCGUUGUACAGUAGUCUGCACAUUGGUUAGACUGGGCAAGGGAGAGCAACGCCAUGGACUGCUGGGGACAAAAUGGGCUGUUUCCAAGGAGAAGACAUUUGUUUGCUCCUUUUUUGAAUCUCAUAUCCAGUGUUUUUCUUCACAGGUUUUGCACACUAGGGACCAAGAAGCCCUCGGGGAUACUGCUGAGAAAAGACUGCCGAAGGGAAGACCAGCGGGGAUCAUGGAAUCUAUUCCAGAGGAAACUAACCAACAGUGAGCAUCUUCAACUAAACUACCCCUGGAUGUAAUGGUUGCAUGCAUCAUUCCUUUAAUUGAGCAGAGUUAACUGGAUCAAAUUAUUUAUGGGAGAGAGAGGAAAAGUUAUAAAGAAUUAUAGUAAUUUUUAAUUUCCACCAAUAUACUCUUUGUAAGUGAAUCACUCUAUAAUUACUUUCUGUUGCACUGAAUGCAGCAACAAUAACACAAUAGUACUUUAAGGCACUGGUUUUUGGCAUACUCUAACCUUGUAAUUAUUUAAAUAACAGCCAAGUUUACUCAUGUUUUUUAUUCUGUCAAGAAAAAAGAAAAACUUCCUUUACUCGAAAGUGAUGGCCGAAACAAAAUCAGAAAUUUUCUUGAAAUUACAUAAAUACACAGAAAAUGGCACUUAUUAGCUUUUGUUAAAACAUUAUCUUAUCUAAUCACUGCAUAAAAGUCCAGAUUUGUAGAAAAUUGUAAUUUUCUCAGUAUCUACAAACUAUUUUGCUUUCCAUUAAGUUUCUAUUUGCUAUUUUCUCAGAAUUUUACAAUUAAAGAUAAAUCACAAACUGUUUGUUUUUCUUAAAGUUCUUUGAGAAAAUGUCUAAUUAUACAAUCCUUGGACAAUACUGUGUUUUUCUGGUGCUGUGUUUUUUAAGAAGUCCGACUUACUGGAAUUUUGACUAUUUGGAUAUUUUUGUUUUUAAAAGGGGAGGGGAAUUUGAGUAAUACUUCUAAAGAUGUGAAUUGAUCAUUGAUAUUAAAAUAGAAUUAUUCUCGACUCACCAGAAUUAAAUUUUAUAUCUGCAUAUUUAACACUAUUAGCUCUUAUAUAAAUUAUAAGAAAAAUUUUCAAAGGAUCUGGUUUUAAUUUUUUGGAUAUGAAAUGAAUUUGCCUUUUCUGCCUUUUCUUAAGGUACUAUUUUGUAACUAUAUUGCACUAACUAUAUCCAAAACACAUUCUGAGCAUCACUGUGAGUAACAACCUUCCAGUUUGUACCCUUUUGAUUAACAGCAUGGCCCUAUAGUUAAUUAAGAGGUGGAUAACUUAAGCUCACAACUGCCUUUAAUUUGAUUUCACAUCCACACUUAGAAACUUUGCAUUUAAAAGGAAAAUGAGACAUUUAAAUAGGUUCCUGUUGUUUCACAUAUAAUUGGUAAAAACAUAUUCCCUUGUAAAAUCCUAUUAUCAAAGCAUCAAAUACCAAAGUCAGUGACUUGGGUUGCCAAAUACAUUAGGCUCAUUAAUUAUUUUGAAAAGGGCUGCUGUUUCCAUGUAAAUGAUAAUUUUCUUUUUCAUGGACAAGGUUAUGGUACUUAUCUACUAAAAGAAACAUGUAUAAACAUAGUUUUUAUCUUUAACUUCAGUAUUAAAAUAUGCAGUUUUUUGCAAAGAGGAAAAACAUCUGGUUCAAUUACACUGAACUCUGACUACACGUGGGCCAGUAAUAAUAUGAAUUGGAUUUAAGAAUAAACCUUGUGUUUAACCUGUUUUUUUCCUUAAAAUUUUAAUGUGAGUUUUCUGUUAUGCAAAUUAUCCAUGUUAGCACAUUUGGAACAAAUGUAUAAAUGUGCUUUCUGAAUAAAGUCAAAAGUCUAACUUGUUUUUAGUUCCAUAAUGUUUUAAUGUUUAAUUAUAUUGUGUAUUUUUCUCCCUUUCCCCUUACUCUCCAAAAUCACCAAAUCUGGAAAACAGGCUGAUUGUAUCUGUCUAUGAGCAAAGGAAACCUGAAGGAACCAAGGGCCUGGCUGGACAGAGUUGUCAUGUGUCUGCCUGUCUACACUUGCUGUGCAGAACAUCCGCUCACCUGUACAGCAGGCACAGACAGGCAGUCACAUGACAACCCAGCCUGAAUGACAACCAGCCAUUGAAAGAAAGCAGCCCUCACACCAUAGCAUCUACACCAAGAGCUACAACCAAAAUGAGGGGUUUGGGGGCCUGGGGUUUUAAUCUGUUGGUUUAAUACUUAACUCAUGUAUUAUUUUAUUUUGAUUCAAGUAUUAAAACCCACCAAAAGUAAAGUGAGUGGUGCCUAUGAAAUAUAAUAAAACCCAUUUCUGAAAAUGUU